rnacentral:lncRNA from 1 species
UAAGAAGCUUGGAAGCUAUUGUCCAACUGAAGCUUUGGUCAGAUUGGAUCCUUGAGCAACAACAGACAGCAUGGAUUCUUCCCCUCAUUCAUGGACCCAUGCAGAGACUCUGCCGCAUUGAACAAAGAGUGUCCAGAAUCACCUUGGAGAUUGUCUCCAUUCCAGCAUUUUGAAGAAAGAACAGCCACAAAAAAAAACCCAGCCCCUUAAAAUAACAACAACAACAACAACAGCAACUAUGACAACAACACCCAAACAAACCAUAGAGGAGUCUACCUGGGAAGUUUUCAUGGGCCAAGUCUAGGAGUCAAAUACAUCAUUCUGCUCAUACUCUUCUGACUAUGACUUCAUCCCUUCAUCACAAUUGAGAUCUAGAAGAGUAUUCUAACAAUGUGCCCAGGAAAAGCAGCAAACAUAGAUUUGUGUGAUGUAUAUACCAAUAUUUGCCUCAGCUUUUUAGACCCUGGAAUCUCUGAGUAAAGAAACUAUCUACUCAAGUGGACAGCACUGAGAGUAUGACAUGAAGUGGAGGGAAAAGCAAGAUCAGGACAGUGAUUCCUGACUGACACUGAACUGCAAUCGCAUUAUACAGAAGCAUUUCCAUAUGGUACCUUGCAACUUACUUCCUAGUAUAAUCACAAAUAUUGUCAUCAGGAGUGAAACCCACUGGAGCAAAGGAGGCACAGUUGAUGGACACAAGGGAAGUGACUGCCGGGACCUGGAUGACUUUCAGAGGAUGGACAGCAGGAAGAGGCUAACAGAAAGCCCAGAAUGUUGUUUGUUCAACAGAUGUGUUCCUAGCCAGCUACCAGAGCUCAUGAGCCAUUUUUAGUUGUCAACAUAGAUUAGAUAUUUGUAAUCUCUUAUUACAAGUUUACACCCAAAGCACAUAGGCUAAGUUGUCUACUGGUUGGUAAUGUGUGCUCAACUUCCAACUUUCUAUGGCUCUGCAGAAACAUGAAUUUUGUGCUACAUACCUAUAUUUAUAGUUAUUGUUUAAAGACUGCAAAAGUUACCUUUAUCAGUAUCUUAAUCUUCAUGAAUAUAUAUGCCCUCUGGAUUGGACAUUUUGAUCCUUACACAGAUGGUUAUUAUCUGCUGGGAUAUUCUCCCUCUCUUCUUUUCCAAGCCAAUUUG